rnacentral:rRNA from 1 species
CAGUAGCCGCGGGAAUACGUAGGUGGCAAGCGUUGUCCGGAGUUAUUGGGCGUAAAGGGCUCGCAGGCGGUUUCUUGAGUCUGAUGUGAAAGCCCCCGGCUCAACCGGGGAGGGUCAUUGGAAACUGGGAAACUUGAGUGCAGAAGAGGAGAGUGGAAUUCCACGUGUAGCGGUGAAAUGCGUAGAGAUGUGGAGGAACACCAGUGGCGAAGGCGACUCUCUGGUCUGUAACUGACACUGAGGAGCGAAAGCGUGGGGAGCGAGCAGGAUUAGAUACCCCUGUAGUCCCUGUCUCUUAUAC